rnacentral:rRNA from 1 species
AGAGUUUGAUCCUGGCUCAGAUUGAACGCUGGCGGCAGGCUUAACACAUGCAAGUCGAGCGGUAACAGAGAUAGCUUGCUAUCUGCUGACGAGCGGCGGACGGGUGAGUAACGCGUAGGAAACUACCCAGUAGUGGGGGACAACCGUUGGAAACGACGGCUAAUACCGCAUACGCUCUACGGAGGAAAGGGGGCUUCGGCUCUCGCUAUCGGAUGUGCCUGCGUUGGAUUAGCUAGUUGGUGGGGUAAAGGCCUACCAAGGCGACGAUCCAUAGCUGGUCUGAGAGGAUGAUCAGCCACACUGGGACUGAGACACGGCCCAGACUCCUACGGGAGGCAGCAGUGGGGAAUAUUGGACAAUGGGCGCAAGCCUGAUCCAGCCAUGCCGCGUGUGUGAAGAAGGCUUUCGGGUUGUAAAGCACUUUCAUCAGUGAGGAAAGGUCAGUAGUUAAUACCUGCUGGCUGUGACGUUAACUGAAGAAGAAGCACCGGCUAACUCCGUGCCAGCAGCCGCGGUAAUACGGAGGGUGCAAGCGUUAACCGGAAUUACCGAGACGUAAAGCGCGCGUAGUGCUGAUUAAGCGAGAUGUGAAGCCCCGGCUACCUGGAACUGCAAUUCGAACUGGUCGGCUAGAGUACAGUAGAGGGUGGCGGAAUUCCUGUGUAGCGGUGAAAUGCGUAGAGAUGGGAAAGGAACAUCAGUGGCGAAAGGCGGCCACCUGGACUGAUACUGACACUGAGGUGCGAAAGCGUGGGUAGCGAACAGGAUUAGAUACCCUGGUAGUCCACGCCGUAAACGAUGUCUACUAGUUGUCGGAGGACUUGAUCUUUUGGUAACGAGCUAACGCGAUAGUAGACCGCCUGGGGAGUACGACCGCAAGCUAAAACUCAAUGAUUGACGGGGGCCCGCACAACCGAUGGAACAUGUGUCAAAUUCGAGCAACGCGAAGAACCUUACCUACUCUUGACAUCCUGCGAACUUGGUAGAGAUACCUUGGUGCCUUCGGGAACGCAGAGACAGGUGCUGCAUGGCUGUCGUCAGCUCGUGUUGUGAAAUGUUGGGUUAAGUCCCGUAACGAGCGCAACCCUUGUCCUUAGUUGCCAUCAUUAAGUUGGGGACUCUAAGGAGACUGCCGGUGACAAACCGGAGGAAGGCGGGGACGACGUCAAGUCAUCAUGGCCCUUACGAGUAGGGCUACACACGUGCUACAAUGGCAAGUACAGAGGGUUGCGAAGCAGUGAUGUGGAGCUAAUCUCUUAAAGCUUGUCGUAGUCCGGAUCGGAGUCUGCAACUCGACUCCGUGAAGUCGGAAUCGCUAGUAAUCGCAAAUCAGAAUGUUGCGGUGAAUACGUUCCCGGGCCUUGUACACACCGCCCGUCACACCAUGGGAGUGGGUUGCUCCAGAAGUAGAUAGCCUAACCUCGGAGGGCGUUUACCACGGAGUGAUUCAUGACUGGGGUGAAGUCGUAACAAGGUAACC